AUUCACGCUCUCUCUCUACAAACGAUUAUCCUCCACCCUCUCUCUCACCAUUUUCUCUCUCCUCCAGAAACAACCAUUAAAGCUCUAGAGAACGGCGAUCAAGCUCCAAAAUCGCCGAUUACUUACUGAUUUAAGUUGAAGAUGAACGAAGGUGAAUAUUCAACAAAUCAACCUGAAAAAAAAAUACGAACGAAGAAGAGAAAAUUCAAAGGACGUAAAUGAGAUUAAACAUGCCAAAAAUUCAGAGCUAAAUCGAGCGCGUUGAUAGUACAAUUGUCGAAGAAGAAAUCCGAAGGACAUCAUUGAAAAAUGUUGGUAAUAUUUUAUAAUCUUAAUUCUUUAGAACAUGAAGGUUCAACAUUUAGAACAUAAAGGUUCAUUGUUUAGAACAAAAUUGUUUAAUAUUUAGAACAUAGAAGUUACUUUUUAAAACAUAAAAAAUUAGGGAUAGUGAUGGUAAUUUCGACAUCUUAUGAUGUUCUAAAAGUAAUAGUUAUAUGUUUUGCAUUUUUUAACAGAGAACGUGAGAAUAAAUGCGCCAAACAACUAUGAAAGAUAUCAUGAGCAAUAUUGGGUAAUAUUUAUGCUUUCAAUACUUUAGAAUGUGAAGGUUAAGAAUGUAGAACAUGAAAACUCAUUGUUUAGAACAAAAUUGUUUAAUGUAUAGAACAUAAAAAAUAUUGGUAGAAACUAGAUGUUAUUUGACUACACUUACCAUUUACUACAUCAGGGAAGGUUCGGGCUAGAGUGAAUGGACUGGGGUGACUGGACGUCUGGACUACACUUACCAUUAUAUGGCAUAAUGAAUUUAGAACAUGAAAGUUAAAAUUAAGAUCAUGAAAGUUCACGAUUUAGAACAAAUAUAUUUAGUAGCUCAUAGCGUCUAUCGAUCUUUUGGAUCUUGGCAAAAUUUUAACCCAAUUCGAACUAAUUCGAACUACUUUCUUUGUUUUUAUACAUUAAUUGAAGUUAUCUUUGUUAAAUUUUGAUUUUCAGCCAAAAAGAAAUACUAAAAAACCACCAAAAUAUCUAGAAGAUCCAUGAGAGUAAGUAUUCAAUGCUUUAAUUUUAGCGAAGUUUUUGUAAUUAUUUUCGGAAUUUUUCGAAAUUUAUUUUUGUAAUUAUUUGUUCUGCAAAUUUGUGGAUGUUUCUAGCGAUUUUGCUAAUUUUUAUGUUCCUUA